rnacentral:rRNA from 1 species
GAUGAACGCUGGCGGCGUGCCUAAUACAUGCAAGUCGAGCGAACAGACGAGGAGCUUGCUCCUCUGACGUUAGCGGCGGACGGGUGAGUAACACGUGGAUAACCUACCUAUAAGACUGAGAUAACUUCGGGAAACCGGAGCUAAUACCGGAUAAUAUAUUGAACCGCAUGGUUCAAUAGUGAAAGACGGUUUUGCUGUCACUUAUAGAUGGAUCCGCGCCGCAUUAGCUAGUUGGUAAGGUAACGGCUUACCAAGGCAACGAUGCGUAGCCGACCUGAGAGGGUGAUCGGCCACACUGGAACUGAGACACGGUCCAGACUCCUACGGGAGGCAGCAGUAGGGAAUCUUCCGCAAUGGGCGAAAGCCUGAUGGAGCAACGCCGCGUGAGUGAUGAAGGUCUUCGGAUCGUAAAACUCUGUUAUUAGGGAAGAACAAAUGUGUAAGUAACUAUGCACGUCUUGACGGUACCUAAUCAGAAAGCCACGGCUAACUACGUG